rnacentral:rRNA from 1 species
CAGCCGCCGCGGGAAUACGUAGGUCCCGAGCGUUGUCCGGAUUUAUUGGGCGUAAAGCGAGCGCAGGCGGUUAGAUAAGUCUGAAGUUAAAGGCUGUGGCUUAACCAUAGUACGCUUUGGAAACUGUUUAACUUGAGUGCAAGAGGGGAGAGUGGAAUUCCAUGUGUAGCGGUGAAAUGCGUAGAUAUAUGGAGGAACACCGGUGGCGAAAGCGGCUCUCUGGCUUGUAACUGACGCUGAGGCUCGAAAGCGUGGGGAGCAAACAGGAUUAGAUACCCCGGUAGUCCCUGUCUCUUAUACC